UCGAAGAGUCGGCCAAUGAACAGCAUAAUAAAUCUAAUAAUGUUUGAAAAUAAAUCUAAACAAUCGGAAAAAACAGAACCGAAAAAUAAGGAUAAACCUUUGGUCAACGAAAUUUCAUUUCGAAAGAAUGUAAUCAUCAAUUCAUUCACGGAUAAUAUCCUUGUUGACAUAUUGAAACAUGACUAUCAACUUUCAAUCAUACACGAAUUCAUCUACUUGUCUUAUUCUGUUUAAUAAUGAAACAAAGAAUUUAUGUGCUAAACAAAUUGCUCAAUCAUAUAAUCGUUGAAUCAUCUUAUUGAUAUGUUGGAAAAUGGAUCAUAUUUGUGGAUUAUUACAUAUGAGAAACAAAAAACGAUCAAUUUCGACUUACCAAAAAUGGAUGUGGCAUCAUCAAUUCUAUUGAUUGAUUAUUAAUCGUCAAAUUGUUGUCUUAUAUGGAAACAUUUUGAUAAAUGAUACAAUUCGUUGGUCAGCAUAUCAAACUGUAUACGAUAUCCAGAAAUCGACAAAUCAUGUUUUCUGUUGAUACAUAGAAUGUAUGCUUUUUCGUCGAAAAGAAUGGCAUAAGUCGUUUGUUGGAAAUAUCAUCACAAUGCUUUAUUUUUCCUGGUUCUAUUCCAAUGGCUACCUUGAUCAUUCGUCAUAUGAUCGAACACAGUUUAUUAUUGAAAACAUCAAUGGAUAUGAUUCUUUGUGCUCAAACAAAUCCACCACCGAAUUCUAUACGUGAACUAAGAUUAUUUGUAUUGUCGUUUCAGUCUCGCUGUCCAUAUAUUGUGAUAGUGAUAUAUCUAAAAAAUCGACAUUCAAUUUUAUAAUGUACUACACUCACUGACUGCAUCGCACCAAAUGACACAGGUAUCAUAACAAUAACACAAUCAUCAGCUCCACCUGCUUACGAUACGAAUGGUUGACCAUUCCAAGUUGAUGGACAGACAUGCAAGCUUUUCGGUUAGAAAUGUUGAUGGUUCUAGUUAUGGUUAUGGCAGCAGCAAAGGGUAGUUUCAGUCAUCAAUUCUCUAAUGCAAUUUUACUACCGUUGUUCAUUUCGAGGAAAAAAACCUAUAAGACUACAAGGCCCUUUCAUCUAUUUUGGCCCUUGGUCCUAGUGAUCAUUCAUGAUAGUCAAAUCAGUUCAAUUCGAUUCUUUCUGUGUAAAUCGACAGAGGAUCAUCAUCUUAUAGUUCAAUCAAAAAGACCGAUACAAUCAGAACCAGAUCUACCAACGAUUUGAACCAACCAACAAGCUUAAUUAUUCGUCUGUGAAAAUGUUUUGAACAUGAUUAUAUUUCUUUGGCCCAAACUUUUCCUGAACAAUUAUCAAUAGAAGGAAAUAAUAAUGUUCAUGUAUAGACUGGUUUACAAUAAAAACUAACCGAUGACAAGAAACGAGUCAGCGGUCAAAAGAAAACGAUCAUGUUCUGGCGUUAUUUCAUUUUUUUAAAACUAUUUGUCUGUUUUCCUAUAAACUGUUGUUUUAAUUAUUUCAUUGUUUAAAGUCGUUUAUGAAUAAAGAUCAUUUUUUUAAAAAUUCCCUAAACGGUUCGUUUGUUUGUUAUGUUUGCUAAAUCAAAGAUCAACAAAGAAGAGUGGUAUUGAGAAACCACCCCCAAAUUUUUUUUUUAUUUUUUUUUUUAAUUUUUUUUUAAAUAUUCACAAAUUCAUUCAUGUAACAAAAAAAAAGACAAAAUCAAAGCAACUACAUCAUUAAAUUUUCAAACUGUAUCUUUCAUGGAAAAUCAUAUCAUUUAAUUAAGAAAAGCUCUGUUUGAAAUUAACUGAUCGUUUCAUUCGCAUAAUUACACAUAUUAUUACAAUGGCAUUAACACCCCGGCUGCUGAUAAUCAAGAUCAUUUGUUGGCCAUACUCGAAUUUUAGAAUUUGAUGUCAAACGACGAUAUUUCCACCAAGAUAGCACAAGGCAGUAGUCCACCAGUCAAAAAAAGUCGAAUAGAUGAGCCAUGUCAGAUAGAACAUAUCUUGUUACGUCCAAAUAUUGGAUCCGUUGAGAAAGUCACCAAGCAAAUGUGGGUAUAUGACAGUCAAGAUGGAAUGGUUUUACGUGAUGUUUCAUAUGUGCCCCAAUUAUAUAAAAUUUUUGAUGAAAUUCUUGUAAAUAUUGCUGAUGAUAAAAUUUGUGAUCAAAAAAUGACCAUUAUUAAAAUCGAAAUCAAUAUGUAAAGUGAUGAAAUAAUUUUUUUUAACAAUGGCCGUGGAAGAACGUUUCUGAUCCCACAUCAAGAUAUAAAUGGUGCUGAAACAAUUGUUUUCACAACAAGGAUUUUUGGCAAUAUUUUAUCAUCAUUAAAUUGUAUUAAUAAUAACGCUACAAGUGUAUAUGAUUACACAAAUAGGAUCCCAUUAUUAGUGGUAAUUGAUGGUUCCAUUCAAAAUUCACAGCUAAAUUAAAUUUUGCUCGAUACACUAGUGGUUGAUUCAUCAAAUCAAGCAAAAAUUUUUAUUUACAUCGUCCACGAAACACGACACUUGAUUUUGAUUUUCAAUAUAACGGACAAAUAGCCAAUUGUCAUUGUUUCAAAAAUCAUUGGCGAGCUUAUUGGUCCACUAUUGAUCAAUGUCAUCGAAGACAGUGAAGCUCCUACUUUUUUCAAAAACCAAAAGGUUUUAAAAAGACUACUAGGCAAAUGGUUAUUACCUAAAAAAAUGGAUGGUCUAAUGACAUCAUUUGCUUCUGCAUCGGUUCAGCUAUUGAUUUCACCAAUAACAUUUGAUGAUAAAAACAAGUGGCUGUUGCCUCAAGAUUGAAAUAUAUCGUUUUUAGAUAUCAUAUGAUUGGAAAUUUGUUCAAAGAGCAAGUCAUAGACGUGGACUGGUUUAAUCCUAGAAAGGCAACCAUAUCGAUAUUGCGGUAAAGGGAACCUUUCUAUGGUCAAAGUUGGAAGUCAAGUCAUUUGUUGUAGUUUUUGUGACGUUCCAAUCUUUAUUUCCACAAGAGGAGUGUUGGAAUUAUUGAACAAAUAAUUCCAACAGUUUUACAUAAAAAUUUAUGAAUUUGGAUCAUUUGAUUCAGUAUCAUAAAAAUCAAUACUCCGAAUAUUCGAUAAUUCGAUAUACUAUUUUUAUUGACGUUACAAAAUAACCACAAUAUAACAAUUUUAUUACAACAAAUUGUAUUACAAUAACAAAUAAUACAACAUAAACAUAAAAUUUAUCUACCAGAAGUGUAUCGAGCAAUAUUAAUAUUGCUCGAUACACUUAAAGAACAAAUGUAAUUCUAACAAAUUAUAUUUACAUUUACAUGUUUAUGAAUGUUUGUCGCAUCCUUUGAUGCUCGAUCAUUCGGAUUUCGAUCUGUGGGAUUGUUAUGGUUUUCAUAAAAUUCCCUGACAUACACAACAAAAUAUGUGAUACUUUUCUUUUAUUUCCUAUUUUUUAAUUACUAAUUCAAAUUUUAUGAUUAUAUAUUAUCAAUCAAUUGUUGCA